UACGUAGGGUGCGAGCGUUGUCCGGAAUUACUGGGCGUAAAGAGCUCGUAGGUGGUUUGUCGCGUUGUUCGUGAAAACUCACAGCUUAACUGUGGGCGUGCGGGCGAUACGGGCAGACUGGAGUACUGCAGGGGGAGACUGGAAUUCCUGGUGUAGCGGUGGAAUGCGCAGAUAUCAGGAGGAACACCGGUGGCGAAGGCGGGUCUCUG
rnacentral:rRNA from 1 species